AACUAACGCUGGCGGCGUGCCUAACACAUGCAAGUCGUACGAGAAAGUUGGCUUCGGCCGAUGAGUACAGUGGCGCACGGGUGAGUAACGCGUGGAUAAUCUGCCCUUAAGUGUGGAAUAACGUACCGAAAGGUGCGCUAAUACCGCAUAAUGCCUGGCAACAUAAGUUGUCCGGCCAAAGAAGGCCUCUGCUUGCAAGCUUUCGCUAAAGGAUGAGUCCGCGUACCAUUAGCUAGUUGGUGGGGUAACGGCCUACCAAGGCGACGAUGGUUAGCUGGUCUGAGAGGAUGAUCAGCCACACUGGAACUGAGACACGGUCCAGACUCCUACGGGAGGCAGCAGUGGGGAAUAUUGGGCAAUGGGCGAAAGCCUGACCCAGCGACGCCGCGUGAAGGAUGAAGGUCUUCGGAUUGUAAACUUCUUUGAUCAGGGAAGAAAGAAAUGACGGUACCUGAAGAACAAGCCACGGCUAACUACGUGCCAGCAGCCGCGGUAAA
rnacentral:rRNA from 1 species